ACUGCUCAGUAACACGUGGACAACCUGCCCUUAGGUUGGGUAUAAACCCGGGAAACUGGGUAUAAUACCCGAUAGGUCUCGAUUGCUGGAAUGCAUCGAGAUUUAAAGCUCCGGCGCCUAAGGAUGGGUCUGCGGCCUAUCAGGUAGUAGUGGGUGUAGCGUACCUACUAGCCUACGACGGGUACGGGUUGUGAGAGCAAGAGCCCGGAGAUGGAUUCUGAGACACGAAUCCAGGCCCUACGGGGUGCAGCAGGCGCGAAAACUUUACAAUGCUGGCAACAGCGAUAAGGGAACCUCGAGUGCCAGGUUACAAAUCUGGCUGUCGAGAUGCCUAAAAAGCAUUUCAUAGCAAGGGCCGGGCAAGACCGGUGCCAGCCGCCGCGGUAACACCGGCGGCUCGAGUGGUAACCGUUAUUAUUGGGUCUAAAGGGUCUGUAGCCGGCCGGAUAAGUCUCUUGAGAAAUCUGGCAGCUUAACUGUCAGGCUUUCAGGAGAUACUGUCUGGCUCGAGGCCGGGAGAGGUGAGAGGUACUUCAGGGGUAGGGGUGAAAUCUUGUAAUCCUUGAAGGACCACCAGUGGCGAAGGCGUCUCACCAGAACGGACCUGACGGCAAGGGACGAAAGCUAAGGGCACGAACCGGAUUAGAUACCCGGGUAGUCCUAGCCGUAAACGAUACUCGCUAGGUGUCGGCCACGGUGCGACCGUUGUCGGUGCCGUAGGGAAGCCGUGAAGCGAGCCACCUGGGAAGUACGGCCGCAAGGCUGAAACCUAAAGGAAUUGGCGGGGGAGCAC
rnacentral:rRNA from 1 species